rnacentral:rRNA from 1 species
CUGGGAACUGCGUUUGUGACUGCAAGGCUAGAGUACGGCAGAGGGGGGUGAAUUCCACGUGUAGCAGUGAAAUGCGUAGAGAUGUGGAGGAACACCAAUGGCGAAGGCAGCCCCCUGGGUCGAUACUGACGCUCAUGCACGAAAGCGUGGGUAGCAAACAGGAUUAGAUACCCUGGUAGUCCACGCCCUAAACGAUGUCAACUAGGUGUUGGGUGGGUAAAACCAUUUAGUACCGGAGCUAACGCGUGAAGUUGACCGCCUGGGGAGUACGGCCGCAAGGUUAAAACUCAAAGGAAUUGACGGGGACCCGCACAAGCGGUGGAUGAUGUGGAUUAAUUCGAUGCAACGCGAAAAACCUUACCUACCCUUGACAUGUCCAGAAGCCUGAAGAGAUUUUGGGUGUGCCCGAAAGGGAACUGGAACACAGGUGCUGCAUGGCUGUCGUCAGCUCGUGUCGUGAGAUGUUGGGUUAAGUCCCGCAACGAGCGC